UACGUAGGGGGCAAGCGUUGUCCGGAAUCAUUGGGCGUAAAGAGCGCGUAGGCGGCCCAGUCAGUCCGCUCUGAAAGUCAGGGGCUCAACCCCUGAAUGCGGGUGGAUACUGCUGGGCUAGAGUCCGGAAGAGGCGAGUGGAAUUCCUGGUGUAGCGGUGAAAUGCGCAGAUAUCAGGAGGAACACCGGUGGCGAAGGCGGGUCUCUGGGCCGAUACUGACGCUGAGGAGCGAAAGCGUGGGGAGCGAACAGG
rnacentral:rRNA from 1 species